rnacentral:rRNA from 1 species
GACGAACGCUGGCGGCGUGCUUAACACAUGCAAGUCGAACGGAAAGGCCCUGCUUUUGUGGGGUGCUCGAGUGGCGAACGGGUGAGUAACACGUGAGUAACCUGCCCUUGACUUUGGGAUAACUUCAGGAAACUGGGGCUAAUACCGGAUAGGAGCUCCUGCUGCAUGGUGGGGGUUGGAAAGUUUCGGCGGUUGGGGAUGGACUCGCGGCUUAUCAGCUUGUUGGUGGGGUAGUGGCUUACCAAGGCUUUGACGGGUAGCCGGCCUGAGAGGGUGACCGGCCACAUUGGGACUGAGAUACGGCCCAGACUCCUACGGGAGGCAGCAGUGGGGAAUAUUGCACAAUGGGCGGAAGCCUGAUGCAGCAACGCCGCGUGCGGGAGGACGGCCUUCGGGUGGUAAACCGCUUUCGCCUGUGACGAAGCGUGAGUGACGGUAAUGGGGAAAGAAGCACCGGCGAACUACGU